CUUUACCCAUUUUCAUCGUCAUUUUCUUCUUCUUCUUCUUCUUCCUCUAAUUAUACAAAAUCCAUUUCUCCUCACAAGACAUCCUUUGACAUGGCCAAGUUGAGAACCCCACUUAGGUACAUUACAGAGGUUGCUCCAUCACUAUAUAUCUAUCUUACAAAGCGUCGCCCAUUGUCAACAGCAAUGUUAGAUACAAUUGCUGAGGAAGAAAAGGAAUCUGCUGUCACUGAAAUAACCCAGGUCAUCAGUCGGCAUACAUGCUGCAAUAUUUUGCAAGUGAUUUAGUGUCAUGAUUUCAACAGGCAGAAUAAAUUAGAACAUUGAGGAGGGUAGCUACAAUCUUGCUGUUAUUUCUUUACUUCUUUUGUAUUAUCAAUAAUUUGUAUUAUGUUUCUUGUAAUAUGAUCUUUUGAAAGGGAUAUAAAUUGCUUUUUUUUUUUGGCAGUUAACAACCUUUCCUGUUAUUUUGAUUGUCUGCAAGUUUUAAUAAUUAAUGGAUGAAUGAGUCUUUUUCUUA